rnacentral:lncRNA from 1 species
UGGGGAGGCUCUAGGGGGCUCCAGAGGCAUUUAGGAAGGCUCUGUGGAGGCUCUAGGGGGCUGGGGAGGCUCUAGAGAGGCUCUAGAGGGGUUUAUGGGGCCUCUAGGAGGCCGGGGAGGCCCUACAGAGGCUUGAUGGAGGCUCUGGGGGGCUUUGUGGAGGUUCUGGGGGGCUGGGGAGGCUCUGGGGAGGCUUUAUGGGGGCUCUGGGGGGCUUUGUGGGGGCUCUGAAGGCCCUGGAGGCCCUAGGGAGGUUCUGUGGAGGCUCUUUUUGGGGCGGGGAGGUUUUAGGGAGGCUCCACGGAGGCUCCACGGGGCCUUUAUGGGGCUGGGGGCCUCUGCAGGGGCUCUGUGGGGUCUCUGGAGGCUGUUUGGGGUCUCUGUGGGGGCUCUGUGGGGACGUGGCCUCGCACAUGUUGCGGGCCCCCCCCCACCCCCUGGGCCGUUGGGUGACCCUGUCCUUGUGUCCUUGUGUCCCCCUGUCCCCAUCUUUCUGUCCCCAUCCCCCUGUCCCCAUGUGCCCCUGUCCCCAUCCCCCUGUCCCUGUCCACCUCCCCCUGUCCCCAUGUCCCCAUCCUUCUGUCCCCAUCCCUUUGUCCCUACCCAUGUUGCCAUGUCCCUAUAUCCUGUGUCCCCAUGUCCCCGUGUCCCCAUAUCCCUGUGUCCCCAUAUCUUCAUAUCCCCAUGUCCCAUGUCCCCAUGUCCCCAUAUCCCCCAUAUCCCUGUGUCCCCAUGUCCCUAUCCCUGUCCCCAUGUCCACGUGUCCCCAUGUCCCUGUCCCUAUAUCCCUGUGUCCCCAUGUCCCCAUAUCCCCGUGUCCCAUGUCCCUUGUCCCCAUUGUCCCUAUAUCCCCAUAUCCCUAUCCCCGUGUCCCUAUCCCUGUCCCCAUGUCCCUAUAUCCCCAUGUCCCCAUCCCCAUGUCCCCAUGUCCCUAUCCAUGCCCCGUGACCCCACCCAUGACCCCGUGACCCCACCCAUGACCCCGUGACCCCACCCAUGACCCCGCCCCCUGCCCCGCCCCCAGGCAGGCGCGCCUGCCGGGCCCGUUCCGGGAGUCCUACCUGUCCCCGGCGCAGUCGGUGAAGCCGCGCAUCGACUCGCAGGAGAAGCUGCCCCGCGACAAGCUCAGCCCGCCCACCCCCAGCAUCUACGUGAGUCAUUGGCCGGCCCCGGGGGCGCCCCGCCCUCAUUGGUCAGCGGGCGGGCGUGUCCCAGGGCAUCCUUGCCCUGAUUGGUUCAUGAUUGGGCGUUUCCCAGGGUAUCCCUGCCCUGAUUGGUCCAUCGCUGGGUGUUCCCCAGGGCAUCCUUGCCCUGAUUGGUUCAUGACUGGGCAUUUCCCAGGGUAUUCCUGCCCUGAUUGGUCCAUCGUUGGGCAUUUCCCAGGCAUCCCCGUGCUGAUUGGUCCACAGCUGGGUGUUUCUCAGGGUAUCCCCAUCCUGAUUGGCCCAUGGCCAGGUGUUUACUAGGUACCCCUGCCCUGAUUGGUUCACAGGCAGGUGUUUCCUAGGGCAUCUCCACCCUGAUUGGUCCAUAACUGGGUGUUCCCAGGGCAUCCCUGUCCUGAUUGGUCUAUGAUUGGGCGUUUCCCAGGGCAUCCCCAUCCUGAUUGGUCCAUAGCUGGGUAUUUCCCAGGCAUCCCCGUCCUGAUUGGCCCAUGGCCAGGUGUUUCCCAGGGCAUCUCUGCCCUGGUUGGUCAAUGGGCGGGCGUUUCCCAGGGAAUCCCCACUCUGAUUGGUCCAUGACUGGGCGUUUCCCAGGGAAUCUCUGCCCUGAUUGGCCGACAGCUGGGUGUUUCCCAGGGUAU